AGUGAACGCUGGCGGUAGGCCUAACACAUGCAAGUCGAACGGCAGCACAGUAGGAGCUUGCUCUUACGGGUGGCGAGUGGCGGACGGGUGAGGAAUACAUCGGGAUCUACUUUUUCGUGGGGGAUAACGUAGGGAAACUUACGCUAAUACCGCAUACGACCUACGGGUGAAAGCAGGGGAUCUUCGGACCUUGCGCGAUUGAAUGAGCCGAUGUCGGAUUAGCUAGUUGGCGGGGUAAAGGCCCACCAAGGCGACGAUCCGUAGCUGGUCUGAGAGGAUGAUCAGCCACACUGGAACUGAGACACGGUCCAGACUCCUACGGGAGGCAGCAGUGGGGAAUAUUGGACAAUGGGCGCAAGCCUGAUCCAGCCAUACCGCGUGGGUGAAGAAGGCCUUCGGGUUGUAAAGCCCUUUUGUUGGGAAAGAAAAGCAGCAGGUUAAUACCCCGCUGUUCUGACGGUACCCAAAGAAUAAGCACCGGCUAACUUCGUG
rnacentral:rRNA from 1 species